rnacentral:rRNA from 1 species
GUGCCAGCAGCCGCGGUAAUACGGAGGGUGCAAACGUUGCUCGGAAUCAUUGGGCGUAAAGCGAACGUAGGCGGCUUUGUAAGUCGGGAGUGAAAGCCCUCGGCUCAACCGAGGAAGUGCUUUCGAAACUGCAAGGCUUGAAUAUCGGAGAGGGUAGCGGAAUUCCCGGUGUAGAGGUGAAAUUCGUAGAUAUCGGGAGGAACACCAGUGGCGAAGGCGGCUACCUGGACGAAUAUUGACGCUGAAGUUCGAAAGCGUGGGGAGCAAACAGGAUUAGAUACCCCUGUAGUCC